UGUCAAUCCAAACGUCAUCUUGUGUUUCCCUAAUUUUACACCCUCUCUCCCAAAUCUGCCCCCAUUCAGUGCAAUCUUAAUGAUUCCUUCAACCAAAACCCUUGUAAAUCGAAGAAGCAAAUGAAACGGUGGGCAAUAAGAACUGAAUGUUAUUGAAUCGUUUGCCAUCUCCAUUUAUAGUUAUAUUGAAUGUUGAAUUUCAUGAGUUCUUCAGUUGCGAAACCGUUGUAUAAAUCAAAUACCUCAAGGCUGAAAAUUGGCCAUCUCUUCUACCCGACGUAUUGCUCCACAAAUUUCUGGGGUUUUCCAUUUCUAAGUUUAUUGCGAUCUUCUUGUGCAAGUAAACACAGAGCAAAAUACCAUUUAGGGUUUUUCUAAAUCGAUUAAUUCAUUGAUAACUGCAUAUUCUACAAUCAUUUUGAAGCGAAGCAGAUUCACCACUUCAAUCAUGUGGACUCUCAAUUUUCCAAGGAAAAUAUAGCUCGAAUCAGGCUUUACGAGCUUAGGAACAAAUCGAAGUUGAAUUGAAUGAUCUCCAACUGGUCGUAAUAUCUACAAUCUAGGGGUGCUAAGAUAUUAGAAGGUUUAGAUGCUGUGAGGAAAAGACCUGGAAUGUACAUUGGAACUUUGGAAGUACGGGGUUUUGUGGUCUACAUCAUCUGGUUUAUGAAAUACUGGAUAACGCUGUUGAUGAAGCCCAAGCUGGUUUUGUUUCAAAAGUCGACAUUGUCUUACUCGCAGACGGGUCAGUGUGCAUCACUGACAAUGGACGUGGGAUCCCGAUCAACAUUAAGUCCCGACAACAUGCAAAAGAGCGCUGGUGGGAGGUGUACGGUGGUCGAUUGGGUUGGUGUGAUGGUGAUGAUGGGUGGCGGUGGUGGGUGGGUGCGAUGAAGAUGAUUGGUGGCGGUGCUGGGAUGCUUACGGUGGUUGGUUGUGGAUGGUGAAUGUGGGUUUGCGGUGGUGGAGGUGUUGCAGGUGGUGUUGGCCGAAGUGGUGGGUUCUGGAUGGUGAACGUGGGUUGUGGAUGGUGAAGGUGUGUUAGGCGGUGGUGGGAGGGGUGUUGCAGGUGGAUUGAUGUUUAAGAUAGGAAACAAUGUCUAAUGCACAUGCCAUGCGUUUCGCCAUUAUAAGUCUACACUAAAGUUGAUUCCACAAGAUUAAGAGUGCAAAGUGUUCUAAGUUAAUUAGUUAAUCGGAAGCUCCCAGUUACAAGAAGAGAGAUAAGAUUAAGAUAUGG
rnacentral:lncRNA from 1 species